rnacentral:sRNA from 1 species
GUGCUCCUCCCACGGCAGUUGGCCAUAUAGAGGCUGGGGGUGGGGGGGGGGAGGUCAAGCGUAGCCUCUUCUCCUUUACCAAGAUGGCGGCUUGUCCCUGUUUCGCCACAGUUCCUACCUUAUGAGCCCGGUUUUCUUAUGCUUAUAAGAGUGGAACAGGUUCCCUGUGUGACUCAAGCCCUGUAUUUAGAGUUUUUAAAAAACUCAUGACCAAGAUUAGAAUCCAGAAAUACCACCAGUCCACAUCCUCUGCUGGAAAGGCGAGACCCUUUAAUCCAGUCUACUGGAUGCACCCGCGUUGCCAUGAACCGCCUUCUCAGCUCCGGGCCCAUGUGUCUUAAGGGCAAGAUUGUUGUCACGCAAAAGCUGGCAGGCUGACAGAGGCGGCCUCAGGACGGACCUUCUGGCUACUGACCGUUUUGCUGUGGUUUUCCCGGAUUGUGUGUAGGUGUGAGAUCAACCAUGA